rnacentral:rRNA from 1 species
GCUAAUACCGCAUACGCCCUACGGGGGAAAGCAGGGGAUCUUCGGACCUUGCGCUAAUAGAUGAGCCUAAGUCAGAUUAGCUAGUUGGUGGGGUAAAGGCCUACCAAGGCGACGAUCUGUAGCGGGUCUGAGAGGAUGAUCCGCCACACUGGGACUGAGACACGGCCCAGACUCCUACGGGAGGCAGCAGUGGGGAAUAUUGGACAAUGGGCGAAAGCCUGAUCCAGCCAUGCCGCGUGUGUGAAGAAGGCCUUUUGGUUGUAAAGCACUUUAAGCGA